ACAGAGAAAUUGGCAACUCUGGUUUUAGCCCAUUUAAUAUAUUGUGGUCGUUUUUCUACGUUUAUUGAGAAUGAAUGAAGAAAACUGUUAAAUUCAACAUUUUCACAUGUUAUAGAUUGUAUUUACAGUUGGUCUCUCUGUGCCAGAGCAUUUUGCUAUUUUCAAAUAUGUUGUAGUUUUUUUUUUUUCUCACAGCAAACCAAAGAACCGAUGGGAAAAAAACAAAUCACAAAAGCUCUGUUAAGUACAUUGUUAGAUUAACAGAAGACAGAGUGCACAGUGUAGUGCUUGACUGUUUGAGUACGAUGAUUAUUUUUUAAAUCAGUCUAAAUAACGACGUGGUUGUGUAACGACGUUUGUUUCUCCGGUUUGUCUAUUGCUCGUACUACACCAAAAACCAAAGAAAGAAAAAAAGGAAA